rnacentral:rRNA from 1 species
AUUGAACGCUGGCGGCAGGCUUAACACAUGCAAGUCGAGCGGGGUGAUGGUGCUUGCACUAUCACUUAGCGGCGGACGGGUGAGUAAUGCUUAGGAAUCUGCCUAUUAGUGGGGGACAACAUCUCGAAAGGGAUGCUAAUACCGCAUACGUCCUACGGGAGAAAGCAGGGGAUCACUUGUGACCUUGCGCUAAUAGAUGAGCCUAAGUCGGAUUAGCUAGUUGGUGGGGUAAAGGCCUACCAAGGCGACGAUCUGUAGCGGGUCUGAGAGGAUGAUCCGCCACACUGGGACUGAGACACGGCCCAGACUCCUACGGGAGGCAGCAGUGGGGAAUAUUGGACAAUGGGGGGAACCCUGAUCCAGCCAUGCCGCGUGUGUGAAGAAGGCCUUAUGGUUGUAAAGCACUUUAAGCGAGGAGGAGGCUCUUUUGGUUAAUGCCCAAGAUGAGUGGACGUUGCUCGCAGAAUAAGCACCGGCUAACUCUGUGCCAGCCGCCGCAGUAA